CACGUAGGGGCCAAGCGUUGUCCGGAUUUAUUGGGCGUAAAGAGCUCGUAGGCGGUUCGACAAGUCGGGUGUGAAAACUCCGGGCUCAACCCGGAGACGCCACCCGAUACUGUCGUGACUGGAGUCCGGUAGGGGAGUGGGGAAUUCCUGGUGUAGCGGUGAAAUGCGCAGAUAUCAGGAGGAACACCGAUGGCGAAGGCAGGUCUCUGGGCCAUAACUGACGCUGAGAAGCGAAAGCAUGGGGAGCGAACAGG
rnacentral:rRNA from 1 species